UCUUUAAAGUUAAAUAAUUUGGCGGUAUUUUAGUCUUUUCAGAGGAACCUGUUCUAUAAAUGAUAAUCCACGAUAAUUGGGUCUUAAAUUAGAAAUUUAUAUAUCAUCGUUAUUAAAUAUUUUUUUAGAAUUUAAUAUUUAAUAAAUAUAAUUAUAUUUUAAUUCAGAUCAUGGUAUAGUUUAUAUUUAAGUUGAAAUGGGUUACAAUAUUUAAAAAUGUGGAUUUUAAAUUUAAAAUUUAAAUGAAAUUGGAUUUGAAAGUAAUUAUAUUAU
rnacentral:rRNA from 1 species